AUGCAUGUCUAAGUAUAAGCAAUCUAUACGGUGAAACUGCGAAUGGCUCAUUAAAUCAGUUAUCGUUUAUUUGAUAGUACCUUACUACUUGGAUAACCGUGGUAAUUCUAGAGCUAAUACAUGCUAAAAACCUCGACUUCGGAAGGGGUGUAUUUAUUAGAUAAAAAACCAAUGCCCUUCGGGGCUCCUUGGUGAUUCAUAAUAACUUAACGAAUCGCAUGGCCUUGUGCCGGCGAUGGUUCAUUCAAAUUUCUGCCCUAUCAACUUUCGAUGGUAGGAUAGUGGCCUACCAUGGUUUCAACGGGUAACGGGGA
rnacentral:rRNA from 1 species